GCUGAGAAGAAUGAAUAUACAUCUCCUUCCUUUAUUAACAACUCUAUAUUAUAUGCAUUUUAAUGUUCAUGAUCCAUUUAUAUGUUUUUGUAAUACUAACAUAGUGACAUAUUUUUGUGAAUGUGACUAUACCAAAUUUUCUGCUACUUUCCAACUGCACAUAAGGAUCUAAAAAUUAAUAACCAAGUAGAGACUGCGCAGUAAUCAUGUAAGGCUAUGUAACUGAAAGGUUUUAAAAAAGUCAGUACUAUCAAACUUUUGAUUACCAGUGUUGUAAAAUGAAAUAGACUCAGUAAAAUGAAGCUCAUUCCAGGAAAAAAGGAAAAAAGUCAUGUUUUUAAGAACAAACAUAUAUAAAUCCUCUGUAAUGGGUGUGAAAGCCGAAUUAUUGAGAGAGUUCGUUCUCCAGUUUUAAAACCUGAUAAGAAAAAUGUAGUAGAGUUAAUAUUUUUAGAAUUUAAAAUCUUAAUAAGUUAUCUUACUUUAAGGAUGAGUUAAAGUCCUUGACUGUCCAUAUCAAGUCCUUCCCUUUUCAAAAACUCGAGGAUAGAUGAAUUUAGACAGUAUUCCCACAGUUGGUGGUACUGACUGAUAGGCAUCUUCGUAAAUAUCCAGUUGGUAUCUGAUCUUCAGUACUGUAGGAGGGGCCUGGUGGAAGGUGACUGGAUCAUUGGGGCAGAUUUGCACUUUGCUGUUCUUGUGAUAGUGAGUGAGUUCUAACGAGAUCUGGUUGUUGAAAAGUGUGUAGCACUUUCCCUUCACUCUCUGUCUCUCUGUCCUCCCACCAUGUGUAGAUGUGCUUGCUUUCCCUUAGCCCUUCCACCAUGAUUUUAAGUUCACUGAGGCCUCCCCAGUCAUGUCUCCCAUACAGCAUGUAGAACUGUGAGUCAAUUAAAUAUCUUUUGUUUAUACAUUCUCUUGUCUCAGGUAGUUCUUUAUAUCAGUGUGAGAACAGACUAAUGCAGUAUUACCUCUUUCUUUCCUCAAAUAUCAAAGUUCAAAUUUUGUAGGCCUCUAAGAAACAUUAUAUAGCAGUGCAGCUGUAAAAUGAGCAGGAAAGGUUGGGAAGGCAAACCUUAGGCACACCUGUGCAGACGUAAACCUGCUGAAGGCUUAGGUUUACUUCUACACAGGUGUUUUCUGUAGUAUGGCACCAAAUGGACAUGUCAGUUACAGAAAGCUAACUCUCCAAGGUCAGCUUAAGUCCUGUCCGUUGACUCAAGUAUCACACCAUGAACACAUUUAACUUAAAUUAGGUGUAUUCAGGAAUGAGUGGGUUUGGAUGCAGAUGUCAAUCACUUCACAGUGAAUGAUGAAUUUAAUUUAACGGUUUUGAUGUCUCAGAUGACAUCUUUAUCAUAAUUUGUCUCUUUUUGUUUUUUUGACAGCCUGCUACCACAGCGUUGAUAACCUUCCUGGUUAUCUCCUUAUGUUAGGCAGUGAACUUCCUGACAGUAAGCAGCGUAACUGCAAUGUAUUCUUUUUAAAGAAUUGCAACUACGUGGUAAAAUAGGAUAUACCUCUAGAUAUUAUUCUGUCAUAAGUUUUAUAUAUUAUUUUAAUAGAUAACCUGCUUUGCUUGGAGUAUCCGUUUAAAAUUAUAUUACUUCUGUAGAUGCUUGUCUAAUUAGGAAGAAUCUUUGUGAUAUGUUUGUGUUUACAUUGAUAGCACCAUUUUAACUUUAACCAUAGACAAGGAAAUAAUGUCCUAUUGUUGCUCAAAAUAAAUCUUAACAUUUUGCUGGACUUAAAUUUUCCAAGUCUCAUUCAGGCAAUGUAUAUCUUUCAAAACCACUAUCAUGAUACAUAUUUUCUAUUUUGAAUUAAUUUGCAUGUUUUAAAAUAGUUAAUGAUGUUAACUGUUUUGCUGAUUCAUUCCACAAAAAUAAAAACUCUUAAAAAAGGCAUUAUUUGUAUUAGGGUUGUGUAUAUAGGUGUGUGUGAAUAUGUUUAUUUUAAUAAAACUAUUUUGUAAUUCACUUAAUGGUCUUUAGCUAGAAUUUUCAAAAGGUAUGACUAUUAGCAAAUUGAUAGGAAAGUAGAUAACAAUGAAGUAAGGGUUACUGGCAGCCUAAGACACUGUUUAUCUCUUUUAAGGUAGAUAGAAUGCAAAUUGCCUUCAUUAGCUGAGCAAUGUGCUGUGGAAAAUGUGCUGGGUACUUAUCAAGAGGCUCUUUCAUUUGCAUUUUUGCUAAAUAAACAAGCUGUUCUGUUUCCCAGCUCUCAAGAGCUCUGAAUAGAAGAGAAAGAAAGUAAUUCAGAGAUGGAUCUGAUUGUGUUGCCCUGACUGGCCUUGAACUCUGGCACUCAAGCAAUCCUCCCACCUUUGCCUUUCAAGGAGAUGGGAUUUAGGAAGUAAUAACCAUGCCCAGCUGAUAAAUAAAAUAUUUAAUUACAAAAAAGAGGAUACCAUAUUCAGGUGAAUAUAUAUUGAAAUGCAAUCAUAAAAGAGAACUGAAACUGAAACAAUUUAAAAUGAUGAAGUGAUGGUUAAAUUAUGGCAUCUCUAAUGCAUGUCAUUGUAUAAAUAGGAUUCAAAAUUAUUUUGCCCUUUUAAGACUUUUUAUCAGCAUGGAAAAACUUGUAGGAUUAACUUUCCAGUGGAAAAAAAUAAUAUGCAUAUUAUAUUUUUAACCUGAUUCUCUGUCAAUACAAUUAUAAACAUUGGGCAGGAAUUAUAUAAACUAAUAAUAGUAUUAAUUGAGCAUUUACUAUGAGCUAGAUGAGCACUUCACAUUAUCUUAUUUAACCUUCUGAGUAACUCAAUGAGAUGGGUAUUUAUACCUAUUUUACCAAAAGCACAGUGGAGAUUUAUAAGAAUUUUAGAGAAAAACCUCUAAGUGGCAGAGCUGGGUUUUCAAUCCAAACAUUUGGGCUAAAACUCUUUUGCCUUAAAUUCUGUGUUAGACCACAUAUCUAAGAUAAAUUUUUCACUAUUUUCUAAUAAAUAUCUAGAUUAUAUUUACAUUGAUUAUUUGGUGGUAAAUAUUAUUCAUUACAUAAAAGAAAUAAGAUAGCAAACCAAGUGGAAACAGAGUGCAGGCAAGGAAGAAGAAAUGGCAAGUGAAAGGCAUUGAAGUGAAGAUAUUCUUGGCAGGUUCAAAGAACAGCAAGGCAGCUGGUGUAGUUUGGUCACAGAGAGAGAGCAAGUGUCAGGAUAUGAGAUCAGAAAGUUAGAAGGAGACCAAAUAAGGUAGGUCCCCGAAGGCCACUCUAAAUAGAGUUUGGCUUUUGCUCUGAGAAAUGAAAAACUGGAGCGUCAUGAACAGAGACAUGACAUUUGACUUAUGAUUUAAUAAAUGUCUUGAGACAUUAUGUUGAAAAUAUAUUGACGUAGGGCAAGAUUUGAGGCAGGAAGACACAUCAGAAACUAUUGCAAAAAUCCAGGUGAGAGAUGAUGGUGCUUUGGACCAGGUUGGUACCAGUAGAGAUUUUGAGAAGUGGUUGUAUUUUGGAUAUAUUUUGAGAAUAUGUCUCCCAAGAUAUACCAAUGGAUUAGACAUAGGCUAUGAGGAAAAAAGUAAGAGCUGAGGAAGACAGCAUUUAUUUUUUUGACCUGAGCCAAAGGAUGGACAGAGCAAAAGAAUUCAUGCCUGCUCAGGGAGAAGGCUAUGCAAUAUUUUGUUGCUAUUGUUUUGUUAGUUUGUUUUAACUUUAUGUGAUACUCAGCAUGGUGCUAUAAACUAUAUUUUGAGGAAGAAUAAACAUCUACACUGAGAUAGCACAGACAUUUGUCUACCUUGCUAGUCUCUAAAUUUCUUGUCUAAUGGCUAAAGAAGCAUGAGAGGUAAUGUAACACUGAAUUUCGUCUAAAUUAAUUUUCCUAAUAGUCUUUUAUUUUCUAUGCACCCUAUGGGAUUUCAGAACUCCCUCAUUAGCGGGCUGAUAUUCCUAUGACACAUCAUUGAAAGAACUUACUACAUAAUUGGCACUGUUCCAGGUGCCAGAGAUACAGCUGUGGGCAAGACUCUGCUCCCACAGUGCUUAUAUAUUCUAGUUAUGAGAUAAAUAAUAAACAGAAAAAAAAGAUAAUUUCAGAUGGUGAGGGGGUGAGGAGAUGAUAAACAGGAGUUCAAUGGCAGAAGGAGCCAAAGAUGCCUAGCACUGAGUUUCCAGCCAGAGGGAAUGGUGAGAACGCCAAACAAACAUGGCCAGUUCAAAGAACCAGACUGCUCAGUGAGUUGGAGCAAUCACAAUCACUGUGUCUGAUGGAAAAAUGGAUGAUGGGACAAAAAUGGGAGUAAUAAAACAUUUCAGAAGUUCACAUAAGAGAAGAUAGAGACUAGGACUUGUGUGAUAGCCAUGGAGAUAUGAAGAAUUAGUUUCAGUAUGUGUUCUGAGAGAAUUGUUCAUGGGGAUUGGUGAUGGAUUUGAUAUGUAAUGG
rnacentral:lncRNA from 10 species